rnacentral:rRNA from 1 species
CUAUGGAAGCUUGCUUCCACUGAGAAGAUAGUGGCGAACGGGGUGAGUAACACGUGGGUAACCUGCCCAUAAGAGGGGGAUAACAUCCGGAAACGGGUGCUAAUACCGCAUAGUUUUCUUGAUCGCAUGAUUGAGAAAGGAAAGACGGCCUUUGUGCUGUCGCUUAUGGAUGGACCCGCGGCGUAUUAGUUAGUUGGUGAGGUAACGGCUCACCAAGACGAUGAUACGUAGCCGACCUGAGAGGGUGAUCGGCCACAUUGGGACUGAGACACGGCCCAAACUCCUACGGGAGGCAGCAGUAGGGAAUCUUCCGCAAUGGACGAAAGUCUGACGGAGCAACGCCGCGUGAGUGAAGAAAAGGUUUUCGGAUCGUAAAACUCUGUUGUCAGAGAAGAACAAGUUGGAGAGUAACUGCUCCAGCCUUGACGGUAUCUGACCAGAAAGCCACGGCUAACUACGUGCCAGCAGCGGC